rnacentral:lncRNA from 1 species
UUGUUUGUGCAGCGGAACUACCGAUUCUUCUUCAUGUUUGUUUCGUCUGCAACUCUUCUAUGCAUCUAUGUGUUCUCCAUAUCUGCCUUCUACAUUAAGGUUCUGAUGGAUGAAAACCACGGCACGGUUUGGAAGGCGAUGAAGGCCACGGUUUGGAAGGCAAUGAAGGAAUCUCCUGCUUCUGUCAUACUAAUGGCUUAUUGUUUCAUCUCUUUAUGGUUUGUCGGAGGACUCACCGGGUUUCACUUAUAUCUCAUCGGGACUAAUCAGGUCAGUCAGGGUUACAUGAUUUAUGUAAAUGC